rnacentral:rRNA from 1 species
GACGAACGCUGGCGGCGUGCUUAACCCAUGCAAGUCGAACGUAAAGGCCCUGCUUUUGUGGGGUGCUCGAGUGGCGAACGGGUGAGUAACACGUGAGUAACCUGCCCUUGACUUUGGGAUAACUUCAGGAAACUGGGGCUAAUACCGGAUAGGAGCUCCUGCUGCAUGGUGGGGGUUGGAAAGUUUCGGCGGUUGGGGAUGGACUCGCGGCUUAUCAGCUUGUUGGUGGGGUAGUGGCUUACCAAGGCUUUGACGGGUAGCCGGCCUGAGAGGGUGACCGGCCACAUUGGGACUGAGAUACGGCCCAGACUCCUACGGGAGGCAGCAGUGGGGAAUAUUGCACAAUGAGCGGAAGCCUGAGGCAGCAACGCCGCGUGCGGGAUGACGGCCUUCGGGUUGUAAACCGCUUUCGCCUGUGACGAAGCGUGAGUGACGGUAAUGGGUAAAGAAGAACCGGCUAACUACGUG